GAUGAACGCUGGCGGCGUGCCUAAUACAUGCAAGUCGAGCGAACGGACGAGAAGCUUGCUUCUCUGAUGUUAGCGGCGGACGGGUGAGUAACACGUGGAUAACCUACCCAUAAGACUGGGAUAACUUCGGGAAACCGGAGCUAAUACCGGAUAAUAUUUUGAACCGCAUGGUUCAAAAGUAAAAGACGGUCUUGCUGUCACUUAUAGAUGGAUCCGCGCUGCAUUAGCUAGUUGGUAAGGUAACGGCUUACCAAGGCAACGAUGCAUAGCCGACCUGAGAGGGUGAUCGGCCACCCUGGAACUGAGACACGGUCCAGACUCCUCCGGGAGGCAGCAGUAGGGAAUCUUCCGCAAUGGGCGAAAGCCUGACGGAGCAACGCCGCGUGAGUGAUGAAGGUCUUCGGAUCGUAAAACUCUGUUAUUAGGGAAGAACAUAUGUGUAAGUAACUGUGCACAUCUUGACGGUACCUAAUCAGAAAGCCACGGCUAACUACGUG
rnacentral:rRNA from 1 species